AACUGCAAGUUGGGUGUUUAAUCUACGGGCUCAACCCGUAUCAGCAUUCAAAACUGUGGUUUCUGAGUAAUGCAGAGGUAGGCGGAAUUCCCGGUGUAGCGGUGGAAUGCGUAGAUAUCGGGAGGAACACCAGUGGCGAAGGCGGCCUACUGGGCAUCAACUGACGCUGAGGCUCGAAAGCAUGGGUAGCAAACAGGAUUAGAUACCCUGGUAGUCCAUGCUGUAAACGAUGAUUACUAGGUGUGGGAAGAUUGACCCUUUCCGUGCCGCAGUUAACACAAUAAGUAAUCCACCUGGGGAGUACGACCGCAAGGUUGAAACUCAAAGGAAUUGACGGGGGCCCGCACAAGCAGUGGAGUAUGUGGUUUAAUUCGAAGCAACGCGAAGAACCUUACCAGGUCUUGACAUCCAACGACCGCCUAAGAGAUUAGGCUUUCCUUCGGGACGUUGAGACAGGUGGUGCAUGGUUGUCGUCAGCUCGUGUCGUGAGAUGUUGGGUUAAGUCCCGCAACGAGCGCAACCCUUAUUACUAGUUACUACGCAAGAGGACUCUAGUGAGACUGCCGUUGACAAAACGGAGGAAGGUGGGGAUGACGUCAAAUCAUCAUGCCCUUUAUGACCUGGGCUACACACGUACUACAAUGGCUAUUAACAGAGAGAAGCGAGACCGCAAGGUGGAGCAAACCUCAGAAAAAUAGUCUCAGUCCGGAUUGGGGGCUGCAACCCGCCCCCAUGAAGCCGGAAUUGCUAGUAAUCGCGGAUCAGCAUGCCGCGGUGAAUACGUUCCCGGGCCUUGUACACACCGCCCGUCACACCAUGAGAGCCGGGGGGACCCGAAGUCGGUAGUCUAACCGCAAGGAGGACGCCGCCGAAGGUAAAACUGGUGAUUGGGGUGAAGUCGUAACAAGGUAACCGUAAAGGGCGAAUU
rnacentral:rRNA from 1 species